rnacentral:rRNA from 1 species
AUUGAACGCUGGCGGCAUGCCUUACACAUGCAAGUCGAACGGUAACAGGUUAAGCUGACGAGUGGCGAACGGGUGAGUAAUAUAUCGGAACGUGCCCAGUCGUGGGGAUAACUGCUCGAAAGAGCAGCUAAUACCGCAUACGACCUGAGGGUGAAAGCGGGGAGUCGCAAGACCUCGCGCGAUUGGAGCGGCCGAUAUCAGAUUAGGUAGUUGGUGGGGUAAAAGGCCACCAAGCCAACGAUCUGUAGCUGGUCUGAGAGGACGACCAGCCACACUGGGACUGAGACACGGCCCAGACUCCUACGGGAGGCAGCAGUGGGGAAUUUUGGACAAUGGGCGCAAGCCUGAUCCAGCCAUGCCGCGUGCGGGAAGAAGGCCUCGG